UUUCCCUUGGAAAAAAAUCUCUAAGAAACUCAAAAUUUCUUGUGCCUAACACUGAAGGAAAGGA
rnacentral:tRNA from 1 species